UUCAGUGAUGAGUAUUGCAUUUUCUGACACCUCUUGUAUGAGAAGGAUUUCUACGUGAGGUCCUCCAAUGAGCAAAGUAGCAAACUUCUGAGAU
rnacentral:snoRNA from 1 species